CCCUGGUUAGCUCAGUUGGUAGAGCGCUCCACUUGUAAUGGAGAGGUCCCGGGUUCGUUACCCGGACCAGGCG
rfam:Ixodes scapularis strain Wikel colony gcontig_1108378465072, whole genome shotgun sequence.